CUAAGAUCCCACAUGCCACACCUAAGGCCUGGUGCAGCAAAAUAAAAAUGGCAGUUCCGCUUCUUUGCUAGCCACGGAGAACUUGCUCUGCAGCAGCUACAGCCAGUGCAGGGCUCCCAGCCCAGGAUGAGAACAGGACCACACCUGGCUCCUCCAGGCAGCCGCUGGACUCCAGGACACCUACUCUGCAAGAUUUAUUUUGACCACAUUAUAAUACGAAUGAGGGGAAAACUGUCUGAUGGAAUAUCCAGUCCACACUUGGGAAUCGACUGCUUGAAGAACAUUCUCAUUUCCAGACUGGAACAUGUGAGUGCGAAGUGUUUACAAAGGAUCUAGUAGCUUCUCUCUUGCCUCGACCUCCUGCUCUCCGUUUUUCUGCCCUUCCAGAAUGAGAAUUCAUUCAGCCUCUCUGCCCAGUUCUGAUCUGUAAGCUUCCACCUCGAUUCCUCAAUUCCGCGUAGCCCAGGUCCCACACCAGCUUUCCGGCCAUCAUACUCGCCCCUGGGGAAAAAUGAGAGGUAAGAGGGGAAACUCCGUGUCCAAGUUUUUAUUUGUCUGGGAGGGAAAUCGAUGUUUUUAGCAGACAACUUGAAUGUUCACUUUGAAAAAAAUAGAGACCCAGUUGCUUGGAUACAGCCAGAAAUGCAUAUCAUUGAAUCUACAGACGACCCGUAGUCAUUUUGUCCUUAUUUGAGUGUCUAAUGUGUUAAGGGGGAAAAUGAGACAGCUCUAACACAUAACUCACACCUGCUUGGGCUUUCUCUGUUGGUCCUCUGGGUGUGUGUGUAUGCAUCACACACCCACACAUAAGUGUGUAAUGAAUUGCUUAGUAUAAAACCCUGCAACAAACAUCAAUUCUGUAGAUUACCGGGGAGGCCUAAUCGGGUUCACUAGCAAAGCAACUUCUAUAAAGACUAUAUAUAGUAGGCACAUGCCUCCGUAGGCAGUGCAGCUAUUUGUUUUUUUAAUAGGGGAUUCUCAUGUUACAAGGGCAUCACAGAUUACUGAAUAAUUUAUUUAAUGGUAGAUUAUAUGGGCUUCACUCUUUGCCAAUGAGCUCAUACCCAAAUGUCUAAAGGAGAUAAGGUGAGCAAAAGCUAGAGCUCAGGCUUGGGUGAGCUGUUGUUUUUUUUUUUUUUUAAGAUAUGCAUAACUGUUAGAGCCAUAUAUACGUAUUUUACUUAAUAAUAUCUCAGCUGCAUUGUCAUAUACAUAAUCGAGGCACCACUUCAUUACUGACAUUUAGCUAACUCGUAGCAAUGCAUACAACACAUGGCGCUGAGAGAUACAGAAUAGAAUAAUAAAUGACCUUGUCUGUAGUUGGUGAUUUUAACAAAGGACUGUGAUCUAUAAGGGUAUGUCUGUUCUCUAUGAAAAUAUAGGGAAACAGAGGGAGCAAAAUUCAAUGAAAGGAUGUUAGAUUUGGAAAAUGGAGACAAGAAAAAUAGAUCUGGAUAGGUAUCUUUCUGUGAACCUCUAUUGUUAUCUUUUCAAUGAUUUGAAAUACAAAAAACAAUCACUUCCAAGCUUAUAGAACUUAAGACAUUUUGCCUUGAACGGUAUAUAGUCCUCAGGUAAGCAGAAGUACCUUGGAACAUGGAUAUACUUUUGUGUCAAGCAAAAUUUUGAUGAAGAUAAAUAAUUUAUUUUAAAAAAUUUUAAAUUUGACAAUAAAGAUGGCAAAAGAUUUGAACAGGCACAUCACGUAGAAGGAAAUCCACAUGGCCAAUAACUGUGGCAAGAGGUGCCUUAUUUUU